UUGUUGACAUCUGAUGAAGAAACAACAACUGUGCCUAAAACAACAGUUCUUGAAACAACAGUUUUGUUUAACAUAAGCACCCUUGCAACAUCUUCAGUUGCAGCACCAAUGUUGACAACUGAUGCAGUAACCAAAACUAUUGGCGCAACAACAACAAAUAUCGCCAACACAAGCAUCCCUCCAUCAUUCUCAUCUUCAGCACCCUUAUCGACAAUUGAAUCAACAUCCACAACUAUGUUUGAAACAACAACAGUACUUCCUGUUACAACUACUAGUGCAACAACAACUUUGGCUGGCACAAAUACACUUCCAACAGCAACUAUAGGUGAGACAACUAUAAUCUUGGGUCUCAAAACCACAGUAGCUCCUCCAACAUUCUCAACUAUCACACAAAACACCACAACUCAUCCAGAAACUACAACUAUGCCUGCAAUUAAUACAAGUAUUGGUGAAAAAACUACAACUUUGACCCCCACAAGCACCACAACCCCUCCAACUUUGCUGGAGGAGUCAGUGACAACAACAUCCAAGAAUAUUCAUCCACAAAGCACAACAAUGUCUGAGAUGAAAAUUACUACCUUCAGUGCAUUAAAAACAGAUAUAACUGAUUCAACAACCACACCUAAUUCUAAAAUCACAACAACUAGUAGUGAAACAAUUACAACCAGAAUGUCCUCCUCAACAUUGUUGGAAGAGCCAACAACAGCACAAUCACAAGCUAUAUCUAAUUUAAAUACAACAACAGUUCCAGUGUUUACAACAACAGCUUUGACUAAUUCUCAGACAGAAAAUAAUCCUACAGUGCACUUCCUAACAUCUACAGCAGUCCUUGGCAAAACAAGCUUACCUCUAAUGAACAGAACUGGUUCAGCACUGGUUACAAGCAAACUGCAGUUUAACUCCUCAUCUCCAGUCCCCAGAGAAACUCAGGUCCUCAGUGUUAUCAAGACUCUUCUCAAAUCCAGAGAGUCACAGCUCAACAAAUCAGUUCAAGUGCUGAAUGUCACCUAUAAAAAUAUCUCAGAGACCUCUUAUGCAAUCAUCUUUACAUUUAACCUGAUUGACAUUAGUAUACCAAAGGACCCUGCAGUAAAGAACAACACCUAUCAGCACCUGCAGAAUGUUAUCAAUAAUAUGUUGAACACACUUCUGAAUGAACCUGGCAGUCAGGUUUUUGAAGCCAAGUCCUCCAAAUUCACGAGCACAGAAAACCACAUUGAGGGCAGUAUGGAAUAUAUCUUCGACAGCAAAGAUCAACCCACCAUUUUGUUGAAGGAGCUUAAUUUACAGAACAGCAUAAUAACAACGACCCUUGCAACACCAGGCACAUCUAAAACCACUAAAGGAACUACAACUUUGAUUGGGAGGGUGAUUUUUUACAUUCGGCUAAUUUUUAUCACACGGGGCCCCAUACCAAGUGAGAGUCAUGUUCAAAAUUUGGUCAACGUACUGCUGGCCCCACAUCUCAGAGCUAAACAAGACACAGCACAAGCCCUGAAUGAUCCUGUGAGCUAUGUGAAUGCCAGCUAUGAGAAAAUUGCUGAUAAUUCAUAUGCCCUCAAACUUGGCUUUGAGAUCAACAAUCCAUCCAUGGCAGAGAAACUUGAACUCAGGGAUGGCAACUACACAUUCAUUCAAAACUCCAUAAAAAGAAAGCUAAACCAAAUCCUAAGUGACUCUGACACUUCUGUUGAGUUCAACAAAGCCAAUUUCACGAAAAAUUCCAUGGAGGUCAUUGCUGAUAUUGAUUAUAUUUUCCGGCAACAAGACAUCAAGUCACCCAGUGACUUCCUCCAAGAACUUCUCAAAGUUAUGAAUAGCUUAACAACUCCAGCUCCAACAGGGAAUAAAACAACUCAGAAACCUGUACAAACACCAAAUGUGAUUGGGAAGGUGAUUAUUUACAUUCGGCUCAUAUUUAUCACACGGGGCCCUGUACCAAGUGAUGCAAAAAUAUUACAAUUGGCAAACUCUCUGCUGGCCGCACGUUUCAGAAUUAAACGAGAACUAAGGGCACAAAGCUUAGGUACCCCUGUGAGCUUUGUGAAUGUUACUUACACAAAACUUUCUGAUACGUCAUAUUCCCUGAAUUUUGGAUUUGAAAUCAACAAUGUUACCAUGUCUCAGAAACUUGAACUCAGGGAUACAACAUAUAAAUUAAUCCAGGACUCUAUAAAUAAAUUGUUGAACGAGAUCCUAACUGAGCCCACAGCCACUCCAUUUGAGUUCAAAGAUACCAAUUUCACGGGUAAUUCCACCACUAUUCAGGCUGAUGUACAGUAUGUUUUCUCAGAAAACGACAUCCAGAAACCCAGUGCCUUUCUCUAUGCACUUAUUGUGGUUAAUAAUGAGACUAUUACCACUACAACUACACCUGCUGCAACAAGAACCACCUUUUACUCCACAGUGCUGAGCACUACAAUCACAAAUAACAGCACUAGUGCAGCAUGGGUUGUGGCCAUUAUUGUACCCUGUGCUAUUGUCAUCAUCCUCGUACCUUGCUGGAUUCUCCUUUGUUGUUUACUGUGUGGUUGCUGUACAGCAUUAAGAAGACGGUGGUCCAGAAGACGGUCAUACAAUGUACAAUACACCACUCAUAACAGCCUUUUCUAGAGAGCUCGAGACACAUCAGGAACAUUUUCUAACACUAAUGACUAAUUACUUAUAUUACUAAAUCAAAUUGUGAUUGUGGUACUUUAAAGUUUACAUUUAACUUUCCAUAAUGAUUAUGAUAUCUUACAGCUUUUAUAAUGCACUAUUUAUUUUAUUGUGCCUGUAUUGCUGGACAGACAGGAUCUUAAAUUGUGAUUAAUGUAAUUUAUUUUCAGAAUUGUUUAAUGGAUAAAAAAAUUGUAUUUACGAUUUCUGUAAGGUUUAAAAUAUUUGCAUGUUAUAAUAUUUUGGGAUUUCCAAAUAAUUAAUUUAUUUGAUAUUACACAUUUCAUUUUAAGGGGCAAUGUUGGUAAUGUUAAACUUAUUUACACUUUAUGCACUUUAGUUCCAUGUAACUCAAAGGAAAAUCCUUGUGUGCUUUACACACAGAUGUAGAUGUAAAACAGCAGCAACAUCAAUCAACAGUCAUUUUAUCUGCAUAAUUUUAGAUCUCGUUUUUAAUGAUCACUUCUGUUCUGACAAGAUUGUCCUGCAGCUGCUGACAGGAUUUUUUUUUUCUUUUUAGUAAGGCAUUACACAAACAGCUUUCUUCACCUUUUAAAUCAAAACAACACUAAUAAAUUUAAGAACAACUGUAUAUGUAACCAAAUGAUUAUGAUCUAGCAGGAGCCUGCAUGCAUAACAAUCAAAAAUAAAACACCUACAAUGUUGAAAAAUACACAAAUUCUGUUUAUUUUGAAAGUUGUAAGUAAAUUUCACAUAUAUAUCACUUUCAUCCACUAUUUUUCCACAUAUGUCUAAAUAUAGAAUUUGUUAUAAUUAAAAGCCAUGAGCUGACACAUACACAGAACACGAGUCAUCAUCCAGUCUCUUAAAAUUACACAUAAAUGUGUAUUUAAAUAUAAUCUGACACCCAUUUUUGAGAUUUGUGUUGUUUUUGAGGGUUGGUGAGUGGGGUGAGUAGUGAGAAAAAAACAAUUGCCACUAUCAUUUAAAAUAUUUAAUUGCACCAACAACACUGAUUGCCAUUGAUACAGUUCAAUUAAAAAAAUUCAGUUAGACAAAUUGAACAAUGUCGUAGACGUAGUCUGUCACUAGAAAAUUUUGAAAAGUGAAAUUUUAAAGUGAGUGUCUCAGAUAUUUAUUAAAUCAAGGCCUUGGUGCUCAAUGUGAACAGUCUCUAUGUACAGUAUAUCCAGUUCAAACAGUGAUCAUCUACCAGUGACUUGAGCUCUCACAUCCAAUACGAAACAGAUAGCAACUUUACAUGAUGAUGAAUAUAUGUGGAAACAUCACAAAAGCAAAACAAAUUUAUGAUAUCCAUAUUAUGACACUGGUGGUGAUGACAUAUGCAUGAUUUCCUAUCAUAAUUUAAAAAUAAUAUUCUUUAAGUAGCUGCUCACCUCUGUCCAAGAAGAGCGUGUCAUCAGAACAAUGCUUGAAAGUUUAUCCACUGUAUUAUAUAAUCAAUUAGUAUUAUAAUGAAUACAAGAUUAAGAAAACAUUUUCCUCCGUAGCCAUGUAAAGUAGCUCAUAAUUAACAGAAACACUGGCUAUACAAGAAAUUAAGAAUGACAAUACUCACACCAGCUUAUGUACAUUUUAAUACGCCACAGAUAGAUUUGUAGAGGUUUAUUUCAGCCAUUGUUGUCAAAACACUGCAGUACUGUUGUCACCAAAUGACAACAACUAAUCAGACCAUUCAAAUAAAAUUUAAAGCCUCACAAAUGAAAUAAAAAUGCUAAAAAAUUAGUAAAAACAAACUGUAUUAGCCUAGGCUUCAUAGGUUAUUCACUCAUUGCGCUGUUCAAUCAAUGUAAUCAAUGGCUGUAAUCAAUCAGGCAAAACAGCUCAGAUUUAUCAUAUUGCAUAAAACUAAGCAUUGCUUUGAAACUUUUAUUGCUUAACAUAGAACCUUCAGUAAUUUUUCAAAAUAAUCCAUUAAACAAGUUGCGAUUUGAGGAGUGUGCACUUAUAUUUUCAGUUCCAUUCAUUUGUCUCACUGGAACAGUUGUUUACAGGCACUGACUAUUACACAUCACUGGUCUGCAUGAGAAUGCAAGUCGAUUCUUUGAAUUCUUGGAAUUGUGAAACAGUCCAAGAAUGUUACAACCUGCUCAUCAAAGUAAAGUUGAAACGUCCCUAGGCCUAUACAUAAAAGUUCUCCUGCCAUACUCCAUUAGGAGUAAAUCAUUUGUUGAAUGAAAUCUCAAUCUUAGUCUCUAUAUUUCACCAACAUAAGAAAAAAAUAUAGAUUUUAGCUUAUAUGUCUUUUUUCUGAAGAUAAUUUGCUUUCCUUUAUUAAAAACAGUUUUUUAAAAAAAAGUUUUUGUUGUUUCUUUCUAACAAAUUCUUUACUGUUUAAAAGUCAUUUUCUAUGGAAGUUUCUGCUAAAAGUAAAAAAUUAUUUCUGUUAUAAUGUUGUUUAUAUACUGUAGGUAUAUAAUAUCUUUAUUCUGAAAUAUCUGUAAAUGUACAGUCGUGGCCAAAAGUUUUGAGAAUUACAUAAAUAUCUGAAAUUGGAAAAUUUGCUGGUUAAGUUUUUAUAAUAACAAUUUGCAUAUACUCCAGAAUGUUAUGAAGAGUGAUCAGAUGAAUUGCAUAGUCCUUCUUUGCCAUGAAAAUUAACUUAAUCCCAAAAAAAACUUUCCACUGCAUUUCAUUGCUGUCAUUAAAGGACCUUCUGAGAUCAUUUCAGUAAUCAUCUUGUUAACUCAGGUGAGAAUGUUGACGAGCACAAGGCUGGAGAUCAUUAUGUCAGGCUGAUUGGGUUAGAAUGGCAGACUUGACAUGUUAAAAGGAGGGUGAUGCUUGAAAUCAUUGUUCUUCCAUUGUUAACCAUGGUGACCUGCAAAGAAACGCGUGCAGCCAUCAUUGCGUUGCAUAAAAAUGGCUUCACAGGCAAGGAUAUUGUGGCUACUAAGAUUGCACCUAAAUCUACAAUUUAUAGGUUCAUCAAGAACUUCAAGGAAAGAGGUUCAAUUCUUGUAAAGAAGGCUUCAGGGCGUCCAAGAAAGUCCAGCAAGCGCCAGGAUCGUCUCCUAAAGAGGAUUCAGCUGCGGGAUCGGAGUGCCACCAGUGCAGAGCUUGCUCAGGAAUGGCAGCAGGCAGGUGUGAGCGCAUCUGCACGCACAGUGAGGUGAAGACUUUUGGAAGAUGGCCUGGUGUCAAGAAGGGCAGCAAAGAAGCCACUUCACUCCAAAAAAAAAAACAUCAGGGACAGAUUGAUCUUCUGCAGAAAGUAUAGUGAAUGGACUGCUGAGGACUGGGGCAAAGUCAUAUUCUCCGAUGAAGCCCCUUUCCGAUUGUUUGGGGCAUCUGGAAAAAGGCUUGUCCGGAGAAGAAAAGGUGAGCGCUACCAUCAGUCCUGUGUCAUGCCAACAGUAAAACAUCCUGACACCAUUCAUGUGUGGGGUUGCUUCUCAUCCAAGGGAGUGGGCUCACUCACAAUUCUGCCCAAAAACACAGCCAUGAAUAAAGAAUGGUACCAAAACACCCUCCAACAGCAACUUCUUCCAACAACCCAACAACAGUUUGGUGAAGAACAAUACAUUUUCCAGCACGAUGGAGCACUGUGCCAUAAGGCAAAAGUGAUAACUAAGUGGCUCGGGGACCAGAAUGUUGAAAUUUUGGGUCCAUGGCCUGGAAACUCCCCAGAUCUUAAUCCCAAUGAGAACUUGUGGUCAAUCCUCAAGAGGCGGGUGGACAAACAAAACCACACUAAUUCUGACAAACUCCAAAAAGUUAUUAUGAAAGAAUGGGUUGCUAUCAGUCAGGAUUUGGCCCAGAAGUUGAUUGAGAGCAUGCCCAGUCGAAUUGCAGAGGUCCUGAAAAAGAAGGGCCAGCACUGCAAAUACUGACUCUUUGCAUAAAUGUCAUGUAAUUGUCGAUAAAAGCGUUUGAAACGUAUGAAGUGCUUGUAAUUAUAUUUCAGUACAUCACUGAAACAAAGAUCUAAAAGCAGUUUAGCAGCAAACUUUUUGAAAACUAAUAUUUAUGUAAUUCUCAAAACUUUUGGCCACGACUGUACUAUCCAAUAAAAAGUUCAGUGCACAAAUAGGUUUCGAAACAGGUUUAUCACAAAAGUAGUUGCAAUUAGGCCUAUUUGGUAUUACCAAGGUUGAGUGGCAACUCGUGGUGGGUUAACUAACUUCCAGUCAAUAAGAGAGGGAGAAGUUCAAACUCUAGAGUGUUUUUUUUCUGCUAUUUGUAUUUUGUUAACUUAUAAUCUAUUACUGAUAGAUUAAUGGGUCUAUUAAUUUACCAGACAUACACUGUGUGAUGAUUAAAAUAAAGUCAAAACAUUGGAGACUCCUGAGAAUUCUUAUUAGGCUUCAAGAAAGUUUUAAAACAUUUUUACUUGUUAUGCUAGUACAGCAGAAGAAAGCAGGGGAAGUGAUAGGAGAGGAGAGAAGGGAAGCCGGGUCUUGAACUCAUGACUGGAGUUUACAGUAUUUU
ensembl:lncRNA